AGAGUUUGAUUCUGGCUCAGGACGAACGCUGGCGGCGUGCUUAACACAUGCAAGUCGAACGAUGAAGCCUAGCUUGCUAGGUGGAUUAGUGGCGAACGGGUGAGUAAUACGUGAGUAACCUACCUUUAACUCUGGGAUAAGCCUGGGAAACUGGGUCUAAUACCGGAUACGACCAAUCUCCGCAUGGGGUGUUGGUGGAAAGCGUUAUGUAGUGGUUAUAGAUGGGCUCACGGCCUAUCAGCUUGUUGGUGAGGUAACGGCUCACCAAGGCGACGACGGGUAGCCGGCCUGAGAGGGUGACCGGCCACACUGGGACUGAGACACGGCCCAGACUCCUACGGGAGGCAGCAGUGGGGAAUAUUGCACAAUGGGCGCAAGCCUGAUGCAGCGACGCCGCGUGAGGGAUGACGGCCUUCGGGUUGUAAACCUCUGUUAGCAGGGAAGAAGAGAGAUUGACGGUACCUGCAGAGAAAGCGCCGGCUAACUACGUGCCAGCAGCCGCGGUAAUACGUAGGGCGCGAGCGUUGUCCGGAAUUAUUGGGCGUAAAGAGCUUGUAGGCGGUUUGUCGCGUCUGCUGUGAAAGGCCGGAGCUUAACUCCGUGUAUUGCAGUGGGUACGGGCAGACUAGAGUGCAGUAGGGGAGACUGGAAUUCCUGGUGUAGCGGUGGAAUGCGCAGAUAUCAGGAGGAACACCGAUGGCGAAGGCAGGUCUCUGGGCUGUAACUGACGCUGAGAAGCGAAAGCAUGGGGAGCGAACAGGAUUAGAUACCCUGGUAGUCCAUGCCGUAAACGUUGGGCACUAGGUGUGGGGAACAUUCCACGUUUUCCGCGCCGUAGCUAACGCAUUAAGUGCCCCGCCUGGGGAGUACGGCCGCAAGGCUAAAACUCAAAGAAAUUGACGGGGGCCCGCACAAGCGGCGGAGCAUGCGGAUUAAUUCGAUGCAACGCGAAGAACCUUACCAAGGCUUGACAUAUACUGGACCGCAUCAGAGAUGGUGUUUCCCUUCGGGGCUGGUAUACAGGUGGUGCAUGGUUGUCGUCAGCUCGUGUCGUGAGAUGUUGGGUUAAGU
rnacentral:rRNA from 1 species